AACGUUAGGAUAGUAUGCAGGGACCCACGCCCUCCAUCACGCCUAGGACUCCUGGAAAGAGGUCUUGGCACACAAAGCCAGACCCGAGGUGUGGAAAAUGGGAAAGAACCAACUUCAGGCAACCGAAGCAAACAGGUCGUGGCGGAGAAAUCGAGGAGACGGGUCUCCCCACUCGCUGAGGAUUCUUUAUUCCAAGAUGUUAGUAGGAGGCAAACAGAUUGUUACAGCCUUCUGGCUUCUUCCAGACGAUGGCAGUGGACUGGCCCUAACUCAGGAAACAGAGCGAUCUGGGAGGGCCAAGGCCACAGGAGAAGGACACAAAAGUCCUGGAGAAAAGGA